AUGUGUUAGCUGAGUCCCCUGAAGGCAGCAGAUGGUUGGUUGGAGGUAUUACUGAGGUAAACUUCCAGUAUCCAGAUCCAAAGCGGUGGACAGUGAAAAUAACCAGAACUAAGAUGGGGCCUGGAUGUGUUGCUUAGGCUGUGUGAAACACCUGGUCUUAAGCGAUCCUCUCACCCUGGCCUCCCAAAGCAUUGGGAUUACAGGGAGAAAAGAAUGGGAACUGUGAGGAAAAGAAUGACAUGAACAAUGGGAAGACCAAGGUCCCAGCACAAGUAGUAGAUGCUGAGGAAAGAAGAAGUAUGUUGUGGAGCUGAGAAAUAUCGAUGUUGAAGUUCAAAU
rnacentral:lncRNA from 10 species